rnacentral:tRNA from 1 species
GUGGUGGCUCAGUGGUAGAGCUCUAGCCUAGCACACGUGAAGCACGGGGUUCAAUCCUCAGCACCACA